AUUGAACGCUGGCGGUAACGUUUUAAACAUGCAAGUCGAGCGGUAACAGACAUAAAGAUUCAGCUUGCUGAAUCCGGUGCUGACGAGCGGCGAACGGGUGAGUAACGCGUAGGAAUCUACCCAGUAGCGGGGGAUAGCCCGAGGAAACUCGGAUUAAUACCGCAUACGCCCUGAGGGGAAAGGGGGCAGUUUACUGCUCUCACUAUUGGAUGAGCCUGCGUAAGAUUAGCUUGUUGGUGGGGUAACGGCCUACCAAGGCGACGAUCUUUAGCUGGUCUGAGAGGACGAUCAGCCACAUUGGGACUGAGACACGGCCCAGACAUCUACGGAUGGCAGCAGUUAAGAAUAUUGGACAAUGGGGGCAACCCUGAUCCAGGUAUACCGCGUGUGUGAAGAAGGCCCUAGGGUUGUAAAGCACUUUAAUCAGAGAAGAAGCAUUUUAAGUUAAUACCUUAAUAUGUUGACGUUACCUGAAGAAUAAGGACCGGCUAACUCCGUG
rnacentral:rRNA from 1 species